rnacentral:rRNA from 1 species
AGUGAACGCUGGCGGCAGGCCUAACACAUGCAAGUCGAGCGGCAGCGCGUCCGACCACCCUCGGGUGGUCGGAUGGCGGCGAGCGGCGGACGGGUGAGGAAUGCAUCGGAAUCUGCCUCGUUGUGGGGGGAUAACGUAGGGAAACUUUACGCUAAUACCGCAUACGACCUACGGGUGAAAGUGGGGGACCUUCGGGCCUCACGCGAUGAGAUGAGCCGAUGCCGGAUUAGCUAGUUGGCGGGGUAAAGGCCCACCAAGGCGACGAUCCGUAGCUGGUCUGAGAGGAUGAUCAGCCANACUGGAACUGAGACACGGUCCAGACUCCUACGGGAGGCA